ACCUCUUCCGGAGGUCUCUCCAACGCCAGGAACAUGUAUCUUGUCACUCUGCCCUGUCAUAUGUGAUUGGUGCUGAGCGAAGCCGGAGGGCCUCGCUCCUCGCGUAUGGGAGCAAAGAGACCGCCCAUCUCUCUACCCACCGACGCUCUUCUCUCUCUACACUCUUUCUCACUCUAAAUACACAAUCCAAAUACUGCUCACCGCCGUUUCCCACACUGCCACACGACGCCCUCUCUCUCUACAACAUAACUUCCUCCUCCCUCUCUCUACAAACGCACUUCUCUCUCUCCAAACGCAAUUCCACCUCUCUCUUCUUUCACAUCUUGAGAGAGAGAGAGGAGCUCCUCCUUGAAUGGGAAGUCCCCCGCACCAAAACCUAGAGUUUCUCUCUCAUCCCCUCUCCCAUCAUAAAAUGCUCAGAUCGGCUUAGUUCACUGUAGCUUGGGAUCUCCACUUUCUCUCUCUAGCUUCCAUGGAGUUUGCUAGGAAGGGAACGCUGUGGGUGAUCCUGGCCAUCGGCUUUGUGAUUUGGACGGCGGUUGAUGCAUCUGUGCACACCUAUUAUUGGGAGACGUUCAGGGAGAAUGGAAAUGCCUACCUUCUCUCCGGUGGAAGUGAAGGGAUUGUGGCUUCGAGGGUGGGAACAAGCGAGAGAUGGGGGAUCGAUAAUGGUAGAUCUUACAUCAGGUUUGAAAAUAUAACUUUUUGGAGGACCGAGGAAGCUGCUGAUGGACAUACAAGAAUGGAACAUAGUACUGGAUUGGUCCAAGCUGUCAUUUUUGAAGCAUCUGAUCGAGAUAAUAUUGGUGGUUCAGCUUACGGUGGGCAGAGGUCUAUAUGUUGCACUCCUGAUCUUGCAAAGUUAGAAGGCUGCAGACAGGGGGAAGUCAUUUGGCGACCUUCGGCUGGAGAUCUCAAUGGGCCGUACGUAUUGAAUGUCCAGUUCAGUGGAAAUAAUAUAUUUACCAAAAUGCCAGUUAAAGAAGUUCUUAUAAGAAAAACUGGGAUGUAUAACUUGUUCUUCAUUUUCUGUGAUCCAAAACUCAAAGGACUUAUGAUGACGGGGAAGACCUCCUGGAAAAAUCCUACCGGUUAUUUGCCAGGUAGGAUGGCUCCGCUUAUGACCUUCUACAUGUUCAUGUCGGUUGCAUACUUACUUCUAGGUCUUAUUUGGUUUUCUCAGUAUGUGAGAUUUUGGAAGGAGAUAUUGCAGAUUCAAAACUGUAUCACUCUUGUAAUUGGUCUUGGUAUGUUUGAAAUGACCCUCUGGUACUUUGAAUAUGUAAACUUCAACGAAACUGGAAUAAGGCCUAUUGCAAUCACAGUUUGGGUUGUAACAAUUGGUGCAGUGAGGAAAACAAUAUCUCGCCUUCUUAUUCUUUCUGUGUCAAUGGGGUAUGGAGUUGUUCGGCCUACUCUUGGGGGGCUCACCAAAAAGGUGCUCCUCCUUGGGGUGACAUAUUUCUUGGCCACUGAACUCCUGGAUGUUGCAGAGAAUGUUGGAACCAUCAACGACAUCUCUGGAAAAGCCAAACUUUUUCUUUUUCUCCCAGAUGCUUUCCUGGAUGCAUUUUUGAUAUUGUGGAUCUUCACUUCCCUUUCAAGGACACUGGAGAAACUACAGGCAAGGCGGAGUUCAGCUAAGUUAGAAACUUACCGGAAAUUUACAAAUGCGUUAGCUGUUGCGGUGAUCGCUUCUGUGGCUUGGAUUGGUUAUGAGGAGCCAAGUCUUGUGCCCAAGUCACGUUUUUGCAUACUGCCUGUAAUGAUGGCCAUGAUGAAAGGAUUAGGCAUUUCAAUGAUGGGAAGCCACCACUUUGACACUGAUGAUGCAAAGAACAUUGAGGUUUGCAACGGAUUCUUGAGGAUGGAGCACUCCUGCAGAUUACAGCAGAGAAGAGGGCAUCGAAGGCUUUUGACAAUGUGUACUUCAAAGCUACAGAUCCAUUCAACGAAAGAUGGCAGAGUGCUUGGAUAAUCACUGCAUUCUGGGACAUUCUUGCUUUUUUGCUCCUAUCAGUAAUAUGCUAUCUCUGGGCUCCAUCGCAGAGCUCCAAAAGGUAUGCAUAUUCAGAUGAAGUGGGAGAAGAUGGUGAUGAGGAAGAAGCAUUGCCUUUGGCAGAGGGCCAUGUAAGAUUGGUGAAGCAAGAGAAAGAAAAGAAUGGGAAUGGGGGAAACCCCGAUGUUUUCAGCUUCGAAGAAGCGGUUGAAGAGGACAAGAGGGAAUAACUCUCUGUGCUUCUUGGGGGAAUAUGUACUUCACCAAACUCCACUCCCAUGGUAAAUGGUGGUUUCAAGUAUAGAGAAAAACAUGCUCCUAUAUGUGAUAUUGUUCCAUGUAACUGUAUUCUUUUUCUAGAGUAAUGUAACAGUUAGUUUGAUUUUACCAAAUCAUUUAGGCUUACCUUCUUUGUUGGUAUUUUAAAAAUUCUGUGGCUUAAGCAAUGUGUGCUUCCCAGACGAACCCAAAAGCGAACUCAACAGGGUGAGGAAGGGAUUCCUGUGAGUUUGCGCGCUUUGCUUUCUGGCUGCUUAUGUGUUUAUUCUGGUAUGGAGCUAGCUGUCGACAGUAAAGCUAUAGCAUGCCUGAACCCUCCCCUUUGCCAGCAGGGGCACAGUUCCAUGAUGAGAGGAUUUUUUGGGAAACAUCUGUCUCAUGCAACUGAGAUUUCAUGUCGAGUGAUUGGGAAUCAGGGUUAAAAAAAAUGUGGAUCCAAAUUCGGAAGGAACCUGGGCUGAAUUCCUUACACAAUCAAGGAUAAUUCAUAUGAUCACCAUAUUCUGCGAACUGGGUGAUUUGGUUCGUUGAAUUGCUGAUCCAGAUUGGUGAUUUUGUAAAUUCCAUUUUCUAAUAUUUUAAUAAUAGGUGAUCCAAGUCGGUUCAGUAGAGGGCUGAGCCAAUACCUAA